rnacentral:lncRNA from 1 species
AGGGAGGAGUUAAAAGAUGAAAAUAUAACUAGAAGGAGGCUUAUUGGAAAGGAUGAAAGUAAGGCAUGGUUGGAUGAAGGCAAGGGGUGAAGAACUUCAUCCCUAUUGGUCGAAUACCAUGCCCAAUGGGCUUUGAGGAGGCUGCCCGAGGCCAUAUUAGGAAUUAGGGUUCUUCUUUCGAGGCCAUUCGAGCUUUUGAGGCUAGGGUCAGAAGGUUUAAGAUUUUGGGUAUAAUUUGGGUGAAGAUUUUGUGUGAUUUCGAGUUUUUAUGGAAAAGAUAUGAAUGUUCAAAGACAAGGUGUCAAUUUCGUACCUACUGUCACUUCUUUUGGGCAUCACAUACGAAUACGGAGAGCAACGGAAGAUCGGUGACUGGAUUUGGAGGGAGCAUUUUCUCGGCUACACAUUCUAGUUACUGUAUAUUGAAUUCUAAGAUUGGGU